rnacentral:rRNA from 1 species
GAUGAACGCUGGCGGCGUGCCUAAUACAUGCAAGUCGGACGAAACUUCUUUAUCACCGAGUGCUUGCACUCACCGAUAAAGAGUUGAGUGGCGAACGGGUGAGUAACACGUGGGCAACCUGCCCAAAAGAGGGGGAUAACACUUGGAAACAGGUGCUAAUACCGCAUAACCAUAGUUACCGCAUGGUAACUAUGUAAAAGGUGGCUAUACUACCGCUUUUGGAUGGGCCCGCGGCGCAUUAGCUAGUUGGUAGGGUAAAGGCUUACCAAGGCAAUGAUGCGUAGCCGAAUUGAGAGGUUGAUCGGCCACAUUGGGACUGAGACACGGCCCAAACUCCUACGGGAGGCAGCAGUAGGGAAUCUUCCACAAUGGGCGAAAGCCUGAUGGAGCAACGCCGCGUGGGUGAAGAAGGUCUUCGGAUCGUAAAACCCUGUUGUUAGAGAAGAAAGUGCGUGAGAGUAACUGUUCACGUUUCGACGGUAUCUAACCAGAAAGCCACGGCUAACUACGUG